rnacentral:rRNA from 1 species
GACGAACGCUGGCGGCGUGCCUAAUACAUGCAAGUCGAACGCAGUUGCGAACGGGUGAGCAACACGUAGGUAACAGCCUGGUAGCGGGGGAUUACUAUUGGGAACGAUAGCUAAUACCGCAUACUACCCGCUGGACCUGCGUUGUAUUAGCUAGUUGGUGGGGUCACGGCUCACCAAGGCAACGAUACAUAGCCGACCUGAGAGGGUGGACGGCCAACCUGGGACUGAGGAGAGGGCCAGACUCCUAAGGGAGGCAGGCGUAGGGAAACAUCGGCAAUGGACGGAAGGCUAACCGGGCAACGCCGCGGGGGUGAAGAAGGUUUUCGGAUCGGAAAGCUCUGUUGGAAGAGAAGCGGUAUCUUACCAGAAAGGAACGGCUAACUACGUGCCAGCAGCCGCGGUAAUAC